rnacentral:lncRNA from 1 species
AUGGACUUCCAGAGGCAGAAGCUGCUGGACAUAAAAACUAUUUUCAUCAACUUCAUCACUGUGGAAAUGAGCUUUUAUGCAAAAGCUCUGGAGGUCUACACUCACACGUACCUCAACCUGGAGGCCAUGGACACUCAGAAGGAUCUCCAGCUGUUUUCUGCUCGGAUAAAGAUAUUCGACCCUCCAGUUUGGUCUCUGGACAGCCAGUCUUCUCCUCCCACGAUCCAUUACUCCAGCCUUCCUCCUAGCUCUUCCAAUCCCCCAAAUCCAGUUUCAGUAGAAACCUCUGGAGCAGCUCAAAGCCAUGCACUGCAGCGUGGACGUGAUGAAGGACCAGCUCCCAGGCCACACAGCAAUUUACAGCACCAGGCAGACAAGAAGGGGCAGCGGGACGAGACGGAUGACGAUGCUGAAGAAGAAGAAGAGGAGGAGGAGGACUCUGAUGAAGACAUGAAGCUCACUGGCCGACGGUCUUAUGCUGUUCAGUACGUCCAGAUGUGCAGGUCUAAACAAUAAGAGUCUGUGUUGCUGACGUGUCCAGAAACGUUUCAUGUAGAUGUAAAUGGACCUUUAAAAUGAAGUAUAAAUAUAUGUUUAUGUGUGGACUAUGCAUUCAUUCACUCAUGUUGGACUGAUUAAUGCUUCAAGUCACAGGGAGCUGUGGUCUAUCUCCAGCAGCCUAUGGGUGAGUAGCGGGGGACACCCUGGACAGGUCUUUGGUCCAUUACUGAGGCACACAGACAGCCACACUGAGGAACAAGGAACAUGAAUGUGUUGGGUCUGUGGGAGCAAACCCGAGAACCCAGAGGAAACCCACGCAUGCAUGGAGAGGACACGCUGGGAUUUGAACCGCAACACUUUUGCUGUGAGACAACAGUGAUGCCAUCUAUGCAGACCUCUUUAAGAACUAAAUAACCACGCCUCUCCAAACCCCAAACCACAAUCAUGAUGUCAACUUCAGUCUGAAUUGGACCCUCCCAUCUUUGUGCUCUCUACAUUUGUCCUCUACAGGGGUACACAGACAUUUGACACUCUGACCCGCCCCUUCUGCAGCAAGGUGAAGCCACGGACUACCUCCUUCUAAAACCUCAUCAGUUCUAUGGUUUUGUUUUUAAUCAACAGUUUCAGGAAAGCUGGAAAAAACCGUUUAGGGAUCAAACUGAAAAGUGUUGUCUCUAGGUAUCCCUGGUCACGGUAAAGCCAAGUCCACUCGUCACAUCUAAAGAGUUUAAAUUCAUGUCUUUGAGUCAGUCUCUUUGGCUCUGGCGCUGCUGUUUCAGGAAGUGGCGAUGGGAAGUAGAAGUCAAUAAAAAGCACGGACACCCUGCUCCUACCUUCCCCUUCCUGUCCCACAUCCUUCUGACUCCCAUGGGCCCACCGCAGACCCACUGGGCUCUCGGCAGCUUCCCCAUAGUUCUCUGAGUGACAUGUCCCUGUGCUGCUGCCCUCUGCUGUCCGAGCGUAGCCUCCUCUUAUUGCACCUUACACCUCUCUGGCUGCUCUACAACUCCUAGACUUGCUGGACUGCACGAAAAGCUUCAUAUCCAGUUUGUUACAAUUAAAUGGUAACAAUGGUAAUUAAUGGCUCAUAUUAAUAUAGCUCAACCCCUCCAGACACAGAGUCUUUCACCCAUUCACACACUAAUGGUGAUGAGCUACAAGGUAGCCACAGCUGACUUUACUGCCUGAGAACACUCAGGUGAUACUUUAUGUUACAUCAUCCAUCGCCUCCACUGUUGAAACUCUCUCGUUUGGUUCUGGUUCAGAGUGCGUCACAGCUUCCUGUGCUCAAAACCCACCAGUCAGUCCACACUUGUUACAGAACCUUUAGCAGAACAAUGUGGAUGCUGGUGCAGCGCCUCUGUUCUCCUGGCUAAACAUCUGCUCCCUGCAAGUAUCUAUAAACACCAGUAAAACCAAAACUCUUUUCACUUGUUCAAGUCUUGUGCAGCACCGGUAAAUCAAUUAAGUUCAUCACAAGAUACCCCGUUGUAUCUCACUUGCUCAAGUGCACCGAGACAGAAACAAUCAUAUUUUAACCCCUCAGCAUUCCAGCUUCCCGCCCGUGGGACAAAACCCUGUUGCAUUCAUUAAACCUGGAAAUGUAAGGGGUUAAAGUACGAUUGGAGUCUGCUACACUGAAAAGAAAAACUGUUCUCUCUUUGCAUUGCCUGUGUGCAAACCCCUGGGGUCCAGGCUCACGCCCAUGGGGCCCGGCAGGGUCCAGCCCAAACCUGUUACUUUGGCUUGUCCACUUGAGGAUCCACCAGCUGCAGGAGGAACAAGAUCCAUCAGAAUUUUGUUUCUAAUUGAUUAUUUUGAAAUCAUUCAUAUUUUCUGCAGGUUAAAUGUUGCAUUUGUUCAACUAAACUUUCAUACAUUAACCCUCUGGAGGCAGGCGUUGCAGAUUAGCAACGCUAAAACCUACCUGCCUGGUUACUCCACAUUCGUAUUUCAUGAGCAUUUCACUCAGAAGUGCCCCUGAAGGACUUAGUUGUUCGUCCCUUAAUCAAAACUUAUUUUGAGCCUGAGUGGGUUAAUAAAAGAAUGGCAUCAAUAUGAGACAAUACACGGGAAAUGCAUGUGGAAAUUUGGCUGUCCCACCGUCAGAGCGCGGGGGGGUNNNNNNNNNNNNCAGACCAGCCCACAUUACAGCCAAGCGGGACUUGUGUAUAUGUCGAUGGACUUGAUGUCAGGGUGUCUCACUUUCAGGUCUGCCUGCAAUGAUGUUAAUGAUGCAGCAGGUGUCAGCAGACAAACGGGGCGGUGUUGACUCAUAGCCGAUAGUUUGUGUAAUGCACCGAAAACGCUUCACGAGGCCUUAUCUACCCAUCACUGAUUAUGAGCAGAGGUGUGGAUUCGAGUCACAUGACUUGGACUCAAGUCAGGCUUGAGUCAUUAUUUUAAUGACUUGACUUGAUAAAAUCUAUAAAGACUAAUUUUUAUGGUUUUAUGGUUUUUGGUUAUACUUCCUUGCGAUUUUAUCUUCUGUGUUGAACAGCACUUUGGGUUGGGGAAGCAAUAAUGAGUGUGCUUUAGAAAUAAAUGUGACCUUGACCUUACGACUUGAAAGCCAGUGACAAGCGACUUGAAUUGACUUGCAUCUGUUGACUUGAAGAUGACUUGAGCGUGUUUGAUAUUUUAGCACAAAAGUGGCGCGACGUGGACAAAAAUCAUUAAUCAUUCUUGGUUCUGGGUUUGAUCUUGUUCUGCUAAAUGCAGCAGCACUUUGUUUAUAAUCAGUUUCAGUUUCUGCUUGUUUGAGCAAAAAAAUGAAGCUUUAAGAAGCUUUAUUCCUGGAAUUUAUUUAUUAUCAUUGUCAAUAAAUUGAAGUUGAACAGAUGACUUGAUUAUGACUCGAAAAUUCAAAUUUAAGGACUUGGGACUUCCACAUCAUUGACUUUUGGAUUCAACUUGGACUUGCCUCGAGAUUUGACUGGAAAGACUUGUGACUUACUAAUGACUUGCAAAGCAGUGACUUUGUCACACCUCUGAUUGUGAGCUUCCCACAUCUUUAAACAAAUUCUAUUUAGUUAGAGACUGUUGGUCUAGAGCAGGGGUAUUAAACUCCAGUCCUGCAGGACUGAGCACAUUUUAGUGGUUUCUCUGCUCAAUCACACUUGAUUCAGUGGUUGAAUCACCCUUGCAGCAGCUCAUCCGGCUCUGAAAUCAGGUGUGUUAAAACAGAGUUUAAACUAAAACAUGCCAGACACCGGCCCUCCAGACCCAGAAUUGAACACCCCUGGUUUGUGUAGAAGGAACAAUGACUCAGAUCUUUGUAGAUUAGGAAUGUUUAAUAUUGGUUAACAUUUGAACAUAAAGUUGAAAUAAGUUUGAUUCACUGAAUGCACUUACAGAGCAUCACUGGGCUUCACUGAACAUGAGAUUACAGAGACCAGACCAACAGAGUAAGGUAUAAGCACUGAUGUGAGAGUAUAACGCUCAGCCAGUCAGUCAGGUAAACACAGCAAGGUCCUGCAGAGGUAAAUAUUAACCAGAAGUCUUCACAGUUUUAGUUCAUCACAUCCAUGCACGUCUUCAAAAGUCAGGUCGCACGCUAAAUGGCACAAAAAAUGAAAUAAAAGAACUGGUGCAGAUGAUGUACUCUCAUCAAC